rnacentral:rRNA from 1 species
UACCAGCACCCCGAGUGGUCGGGACGUUUAUUGGGCCUAAAGCAUCCGUAGCCGGUUUUACAAGUCCCCCGUUAAAUCCAGCUGCUUAACAGAUGGGCUGCGGAGGAUACUAUAAGACUAGGAGGCAGGAGAGGCAAGCGGUACUCAGUGGGUAGGGGUAAAAUCCGUUGAUCCAUUGAAGACCACCAGUGGCGAAGGCGGCUUGCCAGAAUGCGCUCGACGGUGAGGGAUGAAAGCUGGGGGAGCAAACCGG